CACUCCCCGGCGGCAUCAGCGCGGCGGCAGCGGCGAAAUAGUCUGCCGGGACAGGCUUCUUGUUCCCCGCCGUCAGGCCGUCCUCCCCGUAGAUUUCCCUCAGGCCCUCGGCGCGCGGCGUGACAUAGAGCUUGUGGAGCGCGGGCACGCCCCUCCUGCCGUCGCCCCUGUCCCUGUCGCUGGUGAACUCCUGCAUGAGCCACGGCGUCUUGAGCUUCUUGGACGGGGGCGGGGGGACGUAGUAGAACCCGAAGCAGUUCUUGCGCCCGCCCUCUUCGCGAAGCUCCUCCUUGCUCCUUCUUGGACCUGGAGUUACUUGGUCUGGAGUCUUCAGCUAUGAACCGUAUGGACAGUUGCUACGCAGCAGACAGCUAUCAGGUGGAAGCCCAAGCUAGAGUUCUCAUCUUCGAAGUAGGGAGGCUGUUCACGGAGGCCAAUGGGCAGAGGAACCAGCCGGGUGGUAGCUUCUCUGCUGAAGCCUUGCAGCUCAGCGUGGAAGAAUCCACUGGAGAAGAACAAGUCAUCAUUACCGUCGACUCUCCGAACAAGCUGCCCUUGGGUGAUUCAUCAGCUGGCUCAUCAUCUGGCGUGACGCGAGGCAGCUGAUGGGAUCUUGUGCGAAUAUAGUAGCGUGCUUGAUGGAGUAGCAAUCAUGAAAUUGACCUCUCUUUUUGAGAAACUUGGCUUUAUUACUUGCUGGUGUAACUAAAUCGCCGGUAACCAUAAAUAGAGUGUACAAAGUUGGGUAUGUCAUCAUGCCAUUUGACAUCGCUGGGUGUCAUACAAGCAACGUAAUUACAGAUAAGAGAUGCUGAAGGUGAUAGUCAUGAAAUUAGCUUUAUGGACCGAAAUAGGAUUUGGGACGCUCUCAGUUUUGUUUAAAAGAGCGCGUCGCUGCAACCAUUCAAUCACGUUAUAUUCAGCUUUUUUUGCUACAUUGGCCAAGAGUUGGUGUUCACAGAUGGCAAGUCUAUUAUUGGCAUGAGUUAAGAACUUUGCAUUUGCCCAA